UCUCCAGGUGAAGGAGGAGCAAAUACAGCAUCUGUGGGGAAACCCUCCCAAGACAUUGGUCCCUUGGCGGCACAGGGCGCGGGGCAUCGUCGUCACUGCUGUCCUUCUCCUCCUGGGUCUGGCCCUGGCCACGUCCCUCCUUGCUGUGACGCUUCUAUAUCUCCGGGCACAGAGCAAGCUGCAAGCAGUUGAAGAAGCGGCGCAGAAGCUCCAAGUCUCUCUGCAGCCUGACAAUGCCUCGGACGCGUCA